AUGAUGAGAACCAAGAAUGUGAAGAGUGAGCCUGGAAAGCAUCCCGGCUCUCGAUGUAAACACAAAGCCCAGAGAACUAUCACUAAAGCUCAUAAAAGGAAGAAGACAAGGAGGCCAGCAGGUUCCAAGAGGAAGAUAGAGAAGAAGCCAAUGUUGGUUGACAACAACAACAUUAGUAAGAGUAAUAAAGGCACGGAUGCUGACUUUGAGCCAGAGAUACCUGAUGAUGAUAGCCGGAAGAAAUAUGCAAGUGUUUUGGGCUUGUAUGGCAGUGCUUUGGACAGAGCUUUAGAGGUAGAAAACAAAUUGCCAGCAGAAGGUCCAAGCUUCGUCAAGCUUAUGCAGAAAUCACAUGUUGUUAAAGGUUUUUGGCUGGGUGUCCCGCUCCGCUUUUGCAGAGAGCAUCUUCCAAAGCAUGAUGUUACAAUUGUAUUAGAAGAUGAGGAUGGGCACGGGUUUGAUACAAUUUACCUAGCUCGCAAGCAGGGCCUAAGUGGUGGGUGGCAUGGGUUUGUGGUACGCCAUGGUCUUAAGGUCGGCGAUGCCGUGAUCUUUCAACUCGUCGGACCGAAAAGAUUUAAGGUGUAUAUACUGAGAGAGAAUAAGUUCACUACAACCGAUGGAGCGCUCGGUCUCUUGAGUUUGGACACGUCCAUGGAAAACCACAUACCCGAAAAAGAAGAAGAAACUUCGGAUGAAGGUGUCAAGUCCAAGGCGGAUCCAGAGGUCACCAAAGUUAUCAGAAACAAAGCAUCCGACGACGAUAGCAAUGACCUUUUCAGUGAAGAAGCCGUGAACGGUGGCGGCAGAUCAGCAGCAGAUCCAGACCCUGAUUUGGACGCCGUGAAAACAUUCAGAGCCUUCAAGACCGCCGUCGACAGUUCUGUCAUUGACCGCAAACUAGUCCCCGAUCACCAGCUUUGGACGUACUACAAGCUGUGCGGCGCUCGCAAGGCGUUCCUCCACAGGCGUCUGCCGAAGCACAUAAACCCGACGCUAGCCGCAGGGGUGAUAGCAGAGACGGCCAGCAUCGCUGAGGGCAUCAGGUCCUACCCGGCCUCCUCCUCUUCUCCAGAGGACCUCGUGGCGUGGAAGAAGACCCUAGAGUCAUUUGAGCUGCUGGGCAUGGACGUCAGCUUCAUGCGCAAGCGUGUCGACGAGCUCCUUUUCCUCCUCGACGCCGGGCCAUCAGAUGAUCACCCGUCUGAGCGGUACGAGGAGAUGAAGCUGGAGCGUGCUCGCACCGCGGAGAAGGUGAGGGCGCUCGAGACGAAGAUGGCGAGCCUGAAGGAUGCUCUCAAGGAGAUGGACAUGGAGAUGGAGGAGAUCGCGGGGGAGAGGAGGAGGGGCCAUGCUGAUGCUAUGCUGCAGCUGGCGGCCGCGCCGUGGUGA
rnacentral:rRNA from 1 species